AUCACCUUCCCAGUGUCAUCCCUUUCCUUCCUAACUAAUGAUUCCCCAGGCUCCUUUGCAGUUAUAGACAGUCACAUGACACCGCUCUAGCCAAUGAGCUACAGGUCAAAACCCCAAGGGGACUUCUGGGAUUGCUUUGCUCUCCUUAUUUAAGUGCCACUUCUGCCUCUUUCUUCUCAUGCUUUAACUAAGGUCACGGGCUAGAGGUGGAGCAGUCACCUUGUGACCUUGAAGGGUCUCUCUCUGUCACAGGCAGAAAAGCGGAGAGAAGGACUCUGUGACAUCGAUGCCGUCAUGAGGUCAUCGCACUGAUUUCUUGUUUUAUGGGGAAAAGUGCCCAAAUGGGUGGAAACCAACAGUCUUGGGACCCGCUCUGGGUUUGUGGCAGAUUUCCUACAUGCAGCGCCCGUCUAGGCUGGCCGGCAGGAGCCCCAGGUGAGAGUUCGUUGGUGAGAAGCUGCGUCCCGGUGCAGUGACAUUGGAAACCGGGCACACUUUGGAUUGGAGUAGAUUCCCGCCCACAGUAGAUUGGAGUAGAUUCACAGUAGAUUCCCGCCCACAGAAGGAAGGAAAGUUUCCACUUAGGAAGUCUGGAACUCCCUGUCGCCUAGGAUGUCACCAAGGAUGGCGGAAUUUAUCUUCUUUCUCCUAACAUUCUAGAAAGCAUUCCUCUUACCGGAGCUCGCCGGCCGCCACCUCCAGAUAGCCGCGCAUUCACGCCUGUCCUCUGCAGUUCUCCUCAGAGGGCUUCCGUGUGGAUUAAAAAAUGCAAAAUAUCUGCUCGGUGCCAAAUUCCAGAAUUGCACAAGCCUGAGAGGAGGCUUGCUUUGUUAAGGUUUUCUUGUGGCAGCUGCCGCCGUGGUCAUUAGCUUGUGAAUUCCAUCUGCCGGUGAGGCUGACUUUUGGGUUUGCCUCUUGAUAAUCCUGUCUGAUUCUACCGCUGUCUAGACAAUGAAGAAAUUAACACCAGUGGAAACAGAAUAGUGCAGAACCUUUGGAACCAAAUACUUUUUAAAAAAUCAACUUUAGAAUCUGUGGAGCAAAAUGUGAGAGCAAUUAGUUAAUUAUGGGGCACCCUCUGGGACACCAGCCAUGAGAAAUAACAAGGCCUUCCUGUACUGAUGGCCUUUUAAUUCCUUGCAAAUGCCCCUUCCCACACGGGACCCGUGAUGGCGCCUUGGAACGUGUGAUUGUGUUUCUGUGACCCUGCUCCAAGCUCAUAAAGACCCUGAAAACGAGACACUGCGGCCGUCUUGCCCGACCCUCACGUUCUCUAACAGAUGAGUUCUUCGCCAGAAAAUGCUCCCGCUCUUCCCCGUGAGUCCGUUUGUGCUCUAGCUAAGAGAAAACCAUGCACAAAAAUGUUUUUCUAACAUGUAAAACCCUUCGUUUGCUUUGCAUUGCAUACAGAAUCCAAGCCACUGAAACUCUGAUCUGAUUCCUAAGACCUUGACUGAGCUCAUUUCUUGCCAAUUUCCCUUGUUCGUGAUGCAUCUUCAUAAAACAAAAGUUCCUUUCCUCCAGAGUAGGAGCAAGCAAACUACCAGCCUUGGGCUGAAUCUGGCCCUUCACUUGUUUUUGUAAAUAAAGUUUUAUUCGUA